rnacentral:other from 1 species
UUGUUCCUGCGGUGCUCGAUAGCGACAUGUGUGUCUUGAGCCGAUAAGCAAAUGCUUAAGGAAACUGAAAUAAGAGGUUGAAAAACAGGCCCACUUAGAUGGGAAGUUUGCCAUCCUCGUGAAGUUUCCCUCUUGAAUCUCCUGGUUCAAGAACCCCCGUCGCGUCGGCACUGUGGGGCUUAU